rnacentral:tRNA from 1 species
AGGAUAAUAGUUUAUAAAACAUUUAAGUUGCAUUUAAAAAUUAUCAAAUAUUUUUGAUUUAUCUUU